rnacentral:rRNA from 1 species
GGGUUUUCACUCAUCAACCCUGUGACAUACCUAAACGUUGCUUCGGCGGGAAUAGACGGCCCCGUGAAACGGGCCGCCCCCGCCAGAGGACCCUUAACUCUGUUUCUAUAAUGUUUCUUCUGAGUAAAACAAGCAAAUAAAUUAAAACUUUCAACAACGGAUCUCUUGGCUCUGGCAUCGAUGAAGAACGCAGCGAAAUGCGAUAAGUAAUGUGAAUUGCAGAAUUCAGUGAAUCAUCGAAUCUUUGAACGCACAUUGCGCCCGCCAGUAUUCUGGCGGGCAUGCCUGUUCGAGCGUCAUUACAACCCUCAGGCCCCCGGGCCUGGCGUUGGGGAUCGGCGGAGCCUCUCUGUGGGCACACGCCGUCCCCCAAAUACAGUGGCGGUCCCGCCGCAGCUUCCAUCGCGUAGUAGCUAACACCUCGCGACUGGAGAGCGGCGCGGCCACGCCGUAAAACACCCAACUUUUCUGAAGUUGACCUCGAAUCAGGUAGGAAUACCCGCUGAACUUAAGCAUAUCAAAAGUCGGGAGGAAA